rnacentral:lncRNA from 1 species
UAUUGAUUUCGUGAAUUUCACCAAGUUCAUGAAUUUUUGAUUUUUCACCCUAGUUCAUGUUCUUCCUAAUUCCCAGUUCGUGAAUUUGUGAAAUUAGUGUUAAUGUUAAGAAAUGAUUAAUUAAUUACAGGUUUUAAAUUUAUUUAAUGAAUCAAGAAAUAAAUGUUUUAUAUAUUGAUAAAUUAGAAAUAAUAAAUAAUCCCUAAACACAAUGCUAAUCAUGUGGACCAUACACCUUUAUUCCCUAAUUUUCUUCUCUUUAAUUUCCGUGCCGAAAAGAAACGUGCCAUUAAUAACGGGACGGAGGGAGUAUGUUUUUCGAAAAGGAUCUUUGAUUUGGGCAAUAACUUCUCCUAUUAGAAUGUCAGGAGAAGCCCACAAUCCUGUAUAAGACAUUCAUAUGGGUCAAGGAAUUCAAUAAUAGAGAGCAAUGGUUCUUCUUCACAGCGAUGCAAGAAAGGGAGGCGCGUGGAGGAAGAACCAAUCGCCUUACUCAAAAUGGAUACUGGAAAGCUACUGGCUCUCCUUGUGAUGUUUUUGAUCGUCGAAAUCUCCGAAUUGGAAGGAAAAAAACUAUGGUGUUCUAUGAGGGCCGAGCUCCCCACGGUUCCAAAACUACCUGGAAAAUGAACGAGUAUAAACUCUAUCAUCAAUCUUCCAUUUCUCAGGUCUGUUACUGAUUGAAGAUAGCUAGGGUUUGUAAUGACUACAAAUUAAUUGCGUGUAUAUUUGCUUCUUCAUAUCAAUNAUUUCUAUAUUCUAUAUACUCCCUCGUCCCGUUAAUAAUGGUCACGUUUCUUUUUGGGUCUGUCCCGUUAUUGAUGGCACGUUUCCUAUUUUGUAAAAAAUAAAGGGAUUGUAUUAAUAGUUAAUUAAAAUACCUAAUUAAAAGACCUAAUUAAACACUUAAAAAAAAUAUACUCUCACUCUUAACACUCUCUCUCUCUCCCAAUUACUCUCACUCGCCGUCUCUCCUCCUCUCCUCGGCGACUCCGUCUCUCCUCCUCCUCCACGGCGACGGCGCGACGACUUCGCAUCCACCCGCCGCCUUCUCCUGCCCUCUCUACCCUCUUCUUCAUCCCUCCACCACCAUCUCUUAAACCCUAGCGCGGCCUCCACCCUCCACCGCUUAGCGCCGCCACCACCCUCCACUGCCUCCACACCUCUGCGCUUGCUCCAUCCGUCGCCGGCUCCGAGAUCUGAGCGGCUCCAUCGUCGCACCUCCACCCCCUCUGGGGAAACCAUAUCCAGCGGCCCGACGGUGGUCUGAGUGUGACGCCGCCGCCGCCUCCUUCGUCACCGAGUGAAACCCUAGCACCAGUGCGGCGCCAGAUCUGAGCGGUUCCAUCGUCGCGCCUCCACACCUCCGCCGCCUGCUCCAGAUCUGAUUCUUAUUCUUAUUCUUGAUUUCGUCGAUUUCAUGAUUUUUAUGGAAUCUUAUUCUUGAUUUCAUACAAUUUCUGGAAUCUUAUUCUUGAUUUUUGUUGAUUUCCUGAAUUUCAUGAAUUGUGAAUAUUUGUUGAUUUUUAGGAUCUUUAUUGUUGCUUGGUGAAUUUUGUUCUGGUAUUUUGAUUCUGUUUUGUAUUGAUUUCGUGAAUUUCACCAAGUUCAUGAAUUUUUGAUUUUUCACCCUAGUUCAUGUUCUUCCUAAUUCCCAGUUCGUGAAUUUUGGUAUUUGUUUCUCAUUUCCACAUAUAUCAACACACACAUAAAGAAAUUACUACUAAUUAAUUAAGAAUAUGGAAGAGCAUGUAGGUUUUAGGUUCUAUCCCACUGAGGAAGAACUGCUAUGUUACUAUCUUCCUAAGAAGCUGAAUGGGCCCACACCACACAUCGAUAGGGUUAUACCGCUUCUGCGCAUCUACGACUACAGCCCUUGGGAGCUUCCACGUAAUUUAUUAAUUUAUUUUCAUGAAUGAAUGCUCAGAAUGUAUAUAUGUAUGAUCACAUGCUGAUUUAUGUUGCAGAAUUUGCUGGAGAAGUGUGCCGUGGGGAUAGAGAGCAAUGGUUCUUCUUCACAGCGAUGCAAGAAAGGGAAGCGCGUGGAGGAAGAACUAAUCGCCUUACUCAAAAUGGAUACUGGAAAGCUACUGGCUCUCCUUGUGAUGUUUUUGAUCGUCGAAAUCUCCGAAUUGGAAGGAAAAAAACUAUGGUGUUCUAUGAGGGCCGAGCUCCCCACGGUUCCAAAACUACCUGGAAAAUGAACGAGUAUAAACUCUAUCAUCAAUCUUCCAUUUCUCAGGUCUGUUACUGAUUGAAGAUAGCUAGGGUUUGUAAUGACUACAA